AGUACGAAAGGAUGAAAUAAUUAAAAUAGUUUUAUAA
rnacentral:rRNA from 1 species